GACGUAGGAGGCGAGCGUUGUCCGGAUUCAUUGGGCGUAAAGAGCGCGCAGGCGGCUUGGUAAGUCGGAUGUGAAAACCCGAGGCUCAACCUCGGGCGUGCAUCCGAAACUGCUCGGCUAGAGGUAGGUAGGGGAGAUCGGAAUUCCUGGUGUAGCGGUGAAAUGCGCAGAAUAUCAGGAGGAACACCGGUGGCGAAGGCGGAUCUCUGGGCCUUACCUGACACUGAGGAGCGAAAGCGUGGGGAGCGAACAGGA
rnacentral:rRNA from 1 species